GACGAACGCUGGCGGCGUGCUUAACACAUGCAAGUCGAACGAAGUGGCGAACGGGUGAGUAAUACGUGAGUAACCUGCCCUCCUUUUUGGGAUAAGCCUUGGAAACGGGGUCUAAUACCGACUAAAGUGGGAUGGGCUCGCGGCCUAUCAGCUUGUUGGUGGGGUGAUGGCCUACCAGGGCGGUGGCGGGUAGCCGGCGUGGGAGGGUGACCUGGCACAUGGGAAAUGGGCCACGGUCCAGACUGAGACGGGAGGCGGGAAUGGUGGACAUUGCACAAUGGGCGGAAGCAUGAUGCAGGCGUGCAGGGUGGGGGAUGAAGGCUUGCGGGUUGUAAUCCUCUGUCGCUAUCGAGCGGGUAGGUGGAGAAGAAGCGCCGGCUAACUACGUGCCAGCAGCCGCGGUAAUUC
rnacentral:rRNA from 1 species